rnacentral:sRNA from 1 species
UCACACAGUGACCAUCGAUCGAGCAGCC